GAGGGUAUAGCUCAGUGGUAAAGUGCAUGCUUAGCGUGCACUAUGUAUUGGGUUCAAUCCCCAGUACCUCCA
rnacentral:tRNA from 1 species